UAGGGAAUCUUCCGCAAUGGGCGAAAGCCUGACGGAGCAACGCCGCGUGAGUGAUGAAGGUCUUCGGUUCGUAAAACUCUGUUAUUAGGGAAGAACAACUGUGUAAGUAACUAUGCACGUCUUGACGGUACCUAACCAGAAAGCCACGGCUAACUCCGUGCCAGCAGCCGCGGUAAUACGUAGGUGGCAAGCGUUAUCCGGAAUUAUUGGGCGUAAAGCGCGCGUAGGCGGUUUUUUAAGUCUGAUGUGAAAGCCCACGGCUCAACCGUGGAGGGUCAUUGGAAACUGGAAGACGUGAGUGCAGAAGAGGAAAGUGGAAUUCCAUGUGUAGCGGUGAAAUGCGCAGAGAUAUGGAGGAACAGCAGUGGCGAAGGCGACUUUCUGGUCUGUAACUGACGCUGAUGUGCGAAAGCGUGGGGAUCAAACAGG
rnacentral:rRNA from 1 species